ACGGCGAGUGANCGGCAAAGCUCNAAUUUGAAAUCGGCCCCCAGGUCGAGUUGUAAUUUGUAGAUUGUAUCUUGAGAGCGGAUUAAAGUCUGUUGGAACACAGCGCCUUAGAGGGUGACAGCCCCGUAAAAUCUAUUCUCAUUGUAAGAUACUUUCGAAGAGUCGAGUUGUUUGGGAAUGCAGCUCUAAGUGGGAGGUAAAUUCCUUCUAAAGCUAAAUAUUGACGAGAGACCGAUAGCGAACAAGUACUGUGAAGGAAAGAUGAAAAGCACUUUGAAAAGAGAGUGAAAAAGUACGUGAAAUUGUUAAAAGGGAAGGGUAUUGAAUCAGACUUGGUGCUGUUGUUCAACNNUGUUUNGGCNNGGUGUACUCAGCAGUACUAGGCCAAGGUGGGGUGUUUGGGAGUGAAAAAGAANUNGGAACGUAACUCUUCGGAGUGUUAUAGCCUACUUUCAUAGCUCCUCAGGCGCCUCAGGACUGCGCUUCGGCAAGGACCUUGGCAUAAUGAUUCUAUACCGCCCGUCUUG
rnacentral:rRNA from 1 species